rnacentral:rRNA from 1 species
AACGAAAGCUGGCGGCAGGCUAACAAUGCAAGGUCGAGCGCACUAUUCGGAGUGAGCGGCGGACGGGUUAGUAACGCGUGGGAAUAUACCCUUCUCUAAGGAAUAGCCUCGGGAAACUGAGAGUAAUAGCUUAGACGCCCUUCGGGGGAAAGAUUUAUCGGAGAGGGAUUAGCCCGCGUAAGAGUAGAUAGUUGGUGGGGUAAUGGCCUACCAAGUCUACGAUCUUUAGCUGGUUUUAGAGGAUGAUCAGCAACACUGGGACUGAGACACGGCCCAGACUCCUACGGGAGGCAGCAGUGGAGAAUCUUGGACAAUGGGCGCAAGCCUGAUCCAGCCAUGCCGCGUGAGUGAUGAAGGCCUUAGGGUCGUAAAGCUCUUUCGCCAGGGAUGAUAAUGACAGUACCUGGUAAAGAAACCCCGGCUAACUCCGUGCCAGCAGCCGCGGUAAUACGGAGGGGGUUAGCGUUGUUCGGAAUUACUGGGCGUAAAGCGUACGUAGGCGGAUCAGAAAGUUAGGGGUGAAAUCCCAGGGCUCAACCCUGGAACUGCCUCUAAAACUCCUGGUCUAGAGUUCGAGAGAGGUGAGUGGAAUUCCGAGUGUAGAGGUGAAAUUCGUAGAUAUUCGGAGAAACACCAGUGGCGAAGGCGGCUCACUGGCUCGAUACUGACGCUGAGGUACGAAAGUGUGGGGAGCAAACAGGAGUUAGAUACCCUGGUAGUCCACACCGUAAACGAUGAAUGCCAGUCGUCGGGUAGCAUGCUAUUUCGGUGACACACCUAACGGAUUAAGCAUUCCGCCUGGGGAGUACGGUCGCAAGAUAAAACUCAAAGAAUUGACGG